AUACGGAGGAUGCAAGCGUUAUCCGGAUUCAUUGGGUUUAAAGGGUGCGUAGGCGGAUUAAUAAGUCAGUGGUGAAAUCUUGCGGCUCAACCGUAACAUUGCCAUUGAUACUGUUAGUCUUGAAUGCAGUUGAGGUAGGCGGAAUGUGUAAUGUAGCGGUGAAAUGCUUAGAUAUUACACAGAACACCGAUUGCGAAGGCAGCUUGCUAAACUGUGAUUGACGCUGAUGCACGAAAGCGUGGGGAUC
rnacentral:rRNA from 1 species